rnacentral:lncRNA from 1 species
UAAAAACAUAAAGGAAAUUCCCAAGGUCCAAAAAGAAGAGGAAUCUGAAAGACAAAGUGGGGGACAUUUGAGUUGAUGUUGGGCUCUCCUGGGGAUAGGGGGCUGGUGGUCUCCCUAACCUAAAAACAUGGCUUCUAAUGCUCAAGGGUUGGAGGGGAUCCGAGACCUACAUGGAUCUGGGACACUCAAAGGGCCACACUCUCAGUGAAAGGGUGGAAUUGAAGAGGGAAUUGAAGAGGAAUUGAAUUAACCUGCCAGCAAAGUAAGACGACAGGGGAAUUUGGCCUGAAUCAGGGUAUAAUCAGCUGUGUCUUGUGAGAAUCCAUAACAAUAGGCCCUUCACAAGGGUUUGGGGUUGAACAGAUAUUAAUAUGUGGCCCAGGAGCCUCCCCCACCAAGCCAACAGAUUAAUGCAAAAAUAGUGAUAUUACCCGUGGGGCACUUGGGAGAAGCAAAUGCAAAAUGGAUCUGGAGGGAUAUACCAUCAACACAGGAUUCCACAGAUAAAGCCCCACAGAAUAUGAAUAUACAGUCCCGGAUCCCCAAACACGCGCUACACCGUGAGCCACCAUCAGCACACAGAGUGGUUGUGGAAUGCCACAGAGCAGCAAGAGUCUGAGGAGUCCGUGGGCUGGGCUGUAGAUGCUGAAGUGAUCUGGGGCUGGUGGCAAGUGGACAAGCCGACGUCCUCAGCGUGAGGGUGGCCCUGAACAGAGACAAGGAGGAAUGCGAUAACAGUUGGUCAGCCCCUCCAGAUAACUGUGUCCAGCACACUGUCAGCUUUGUGGAGGUCAUCCCCACCCCUCUCAAAUCCUUCAUAACCACGGCAAAAUCAAAAGGAAACCCCCAGGCGUGGUGAGAUCUGUGCAACCACCCCAGGACCAACUGGCAUCAAAAGUAGGACUGCAUGUAUCCCGCAGCGUCGAUGCAGCGUCAGUGGAGUGUGGAGGUCUGUGUCGGACAUGGCACGUUUACAGCUUUGUCAGCCCGUUGGCCGAGGAGAUGAAAAGAGCCGGGACACCAGAGCUGGGCCUUGAGUUAGGCUGAAACUACUAGAAGAUGCAAACUGAUAAAUAAACAUGAAAACAAUGAAGCUCUGCUGAUCCUC